rnacentral:lncRNA from 10 species
GCACUGCACCGAGCUUGCACAGGGCGAGGCGGGGGCAGGACCUGGGACCCAGCCACCCCGGAGGAAACCGGAGAGGAAACCAGCUUGGUCUUGCUCUCUGCCUCGUCCCAAUCCCCGGCUCUUACCAAAUGCAGAUCCGUUGGCUGAAUGCCUUUUAGUCUGCAUACAUGCAUCUCAUACCGCACAGCCCAAAUUUCUACAACUUGUCCAGGUGCAGUCUCCUCAGAACUACAAAGCAAGAAAAGAUCACCUUUGGGCUCAGGAACUCACAGUCGUUCUCCCUCUCCCGGAAGGCACAAUGACCAGGACAGUACCGAGCUUUACAGCCAUAUUGAACUCACCAUCAACUCAGCACAUUCAACUCAAUCAGUCAAAAUCGUCUUUUCCUGCUGGUAAAUAACACUGAAAUUGUGGGAAGAUGGGAUGGUAAGAACAAAGUCUGUCUCUGGAAGCACGGGCGCUGUCUCUGAAGACAAAUUGAUCGUAACACAAGCAGACCCGGUGGAACGACCUCCAUGCUGAACCCUCAGCUCCCCCUGCAUUUGGACCAUGGCCUGAUGGAAGAUAAAGAGACUGAUCUCAGAGUGGUACAGAUCUACAACCACGUGAAGAAUUGGAUUUAUAUUCAUCUGACUCCAGAAAGUUCCUGAGAUUCCUCUGCUUCAUCAUCUUUCCCAUGCCCUUUAAAACACGUUAUCAAAUAGCAACAGGUGGUGCAAUAACUAGACAAAUGAUUCUCAGCCUUUUUCUUUGCCAUUAGCACUCCCGGAAGGAGACGUGUUGGACACUUUUCCUUGUCACCACCCCAUGAACCUUCCAUACCACAGGUAUACUGUGUAUUCGGUUAUGUAUCAUCUGUACAUCUGUUUCUAAAACACAGAAACAGUAAGAGCCCCCCAUCCAAGAAUCCAUUUUAAUCCUCUUGGGUGUGAUGUCACCCCCCAAAAAUGCAUAUGCUCUGGAGUCAGUCACAAACACAUUACGAAUGCAUGAUCACUUAAGAAUGUUACCAAAGUUUAUAAAUUUGAGAUGAUAAUUCUAUGUUAUUUAGUUCAUUUUAGAGAUAAGUAAGAACCAGAGAUUCCAGAGAGGUAGACCAAGCUGACAGAGCAAGGAAAGGCAGAGCCAGACAUGCAGCUGAAGCAUCUGAAUUCCCACUCUAGUGCUCCAGCUUAACCUGGAUGAUCAGUAAAUGGUUGCUUUUCAAUGUGCUCUCAACACUUCCCACACUGCCUCCUUCAUUAAUAAAGGAAUGGUAUUUUGGGAGAAACCAGAAUCUGCCCUGGGGCAAUAGAAAGGCAGCAAAGCAACCUGCAUUCAAGUCUUUGGGGGAUUUUUUGGAAAGCAGAGUGUAUUAGUCUGCUAUUGCUGCUGUAACAAAUUACCAUAAAUUUAGUGGCUUAAAACAACACACAUUUGUUGUCUUAAAGUUCUGGAGGUCAGAGCCCAAAAUGGGUCUCAUGGAGCUCAAAUCAAGAUGUCAGAAGGGCUGUGUUCCUUUGGAAGGCCCUUGGGGAGAAUCUGUUCCAUGCCUUCUCCAGUUCCUGGAAGUCACCUGCUUGCUUUGGCUGUGGGGCACUUCCAGCAACUGCAUCACUCUAACCUCUGCAACCAUAGCACGUCUCCCUUUUCUGACUCUCACCCUCUUCUUUCUUUCCCUUAUAAGGACAAUUGUAGUACAGGAUAAUCUCCCCAUUUCAAAAUCCUUUACUUAAUCACAUCUGCAAAGUCCGUCUUGGCCUAUAAGGUGACAUACUUGCAGAUUCCAGAAAUUAGAAUUUGGACGUCUUUGGGUGGCUGUUAUUAUGCCUGCCACACAGACCAAUGCAUACACAAUGUGACCAAUCCAUCAUGAUUUGUCUGAGACUAUAUUGGCUUUAAAGCUGAAAGUUCUGCAUCCCAGGAAUCGCCUCAGUCCCAGGCAAUUCAGGACAAUUCGUCGUCACCCUAUGUGCACCUCCUAUGUGCUCCUUCAACUUAGAGAGUUGGUGUUUUCUCUCCUCUUCAAAGGACUAACUCCUUUUCACCUAAAGAGUACACAGAGGCUGGGUGUAGUGGUUUAGGCCUGUACUCUGUGCAUUUGGGACACUGAGGCAGGAGGUUCACUUGAGCCCAGGAGUUUGAGACCAUUCACGGCAACAUAGUGAGAUCCUUUCUCUACAAAUUUUUUAAAAAAUUAGUUGGGCAUGGUGGCACAUGCCUGUAGUCCCAGAUACUUGGCAGGCUAAGGAGGAAGGAUCCCCUGAGCCCGGGAUUCAAGGCUGCAGUGAGCUAUGAUAGUGCCACUGUACUGCAGCUGAGGCAAUAAAACGAGGCCCUGUCUCUAAAAAUAAAAAAAAAAAAAAAAAAGAAAAAAAGGCUGCACAGAAUAGACUGAUGGACUGAAGGCUCUGCCCUUAUCAAACAUUUACUAAGUAAUAAUUAUAAGUUUGCCUCCUACACUGGGUGACUUCUC